rnacentral:piRNA from 1 species
AACAUGGCUCGCACCAAGCAGAC